UGGGGAAUUUUGGACAAUGGGGGAAACCCUGAUCCAGCCAUCCCGCGUGUGCGAUGAAGGCCUUCGGGUUGUAAAGCACUUUUGGCAGGAAAGAAACGUCAUGGGUUAAUACCCCGUGAAACUGACGGUACCUGCAGAAUAAGCACCGGCUAACUACGUGCCAGCAGCCGCGGUAAUACGUAGGGUGCAAGCGUUAAUCGGAAUUACUGGGCGUAAAGCGUGCGCAGGCGGUUCGGAAAGAAAGAUGUGAAAUCCCAGAGCUUAACUGUGGAACUGCAUUUUUAACUACCGGGCUAGAGUGUGUCAGAGGGAGGUGGAAUUCCGCGUGUAGCAGUGAAAUGCGUAGAUAUGCGGAGGAACACCGAUGGCGAAGGCAGCCUCCUGGGAUAACACUGACGCUCAUGCACGAAAGCGUGGGGAGCAAACA
rnacentral:rRNA from 1 species